GUUAGGGUCCUGAGCUGCAUUUUACUAGGAUUUUGUUAAUUCUAUAAAUGUGGUGUUGCAAGUGAAGGUUUAGAGGUCUAAAAGCUGCAUGUAUAAUACCAUGAAGUACGAUCUUAGGAAAAAUUCACAAUAAACACGGCAUUUGUAGGUUAGCACUGAGAAUGUACAGUCUGGACAGAAUCAUGAGGCAAGCAGUAUUUCUUGAUAACUGCCACAAAGCACAUUUUAUGUGAUGAUGUCCCAAACCAAAACGCGCUUGCAGUUAUAGAAGCAAACAAAACUUUACCAAUUAGAAACCAGCUCAGGUAAACAGAACAUCCUGCAGCCAUAUUUAGCUGUGGCAUGAAGCAGAAAUCUUUCCCUAAUAAUAAAGCAAAUAGUGCUUCUGCCCGCCCGCUCACCGUCGUUAAGUUAACCCUAAAAAUUGCAAAUAAUUACCCACCAUGCCAUCCAUAAUAAUCAAUAGUUAAAAAACGGUUCGUUAAAAAUAGGAACCUCGCGAAUAGCAUCACUGCAUUGGGCCUAUUUCGGCCUGCCCUAACCCCGUGCUCUUCGGCCCGCUCCUGUCCCCGUGCGGUGAUCCGUCUCCUCUCCACCCCUGCGAUGACCUAUCCCAUAGCCCCUGCCCACCCCCUCCGCCGCCGGCGCCGGUGCCUCGAAGGUCAAGGGAAGACCCUCUACUCGGCCCCCAUCGCCGUCCGCGCCGCCGCCCUAUGCCGCCGCCACCACCGCCGUCCAAAUCGCCACCCCCAUAGCCGUCCAAACUGCUCUCGGCAACACCUCUCCAUCCCACGGCUGCCGAAGACAGGGAGGAGGACGAGGCUGGCUAGGCAGGGAGGCCGAGGGUGAAGUGCAGUGGGAGGCGCAUCGGUUAGUGCAGAGGGAGGUCUAUGGUCAGCUCAUUGGAAUCUCACAGGCCACCACGGGGAGAGCAAUCACGCAGGCACAUCAACCUCCCCCACCAGGUUUCUUACUGUGUGCGUGGAUGGGGCAUCGGAAGGAUAGAUGGCAGUACUCGUGUGGAUGCAACAACUGACUAUGUUGUGGUGUUCAGGAAGGAGCGCAGAUACAGCAGCUGUCCAUCUGCAACCGCGGCCACGGGUGCCUAAUCUAACGCGACCUCCUGUUUUGACAUCGUCCUUGGUAGCUGCAAGCGUGGAAACAACCUUGGCAGUGCAGCGGCAGCCAUGAGAUACUCAUUUUUGUCUGUAGCUACACAAUCCAACUACUCAAAGGAACAUACAGUUCUAGAAGUGAGAACUGUUGAGCUAUUAUAGUGCAGCCUUGGGAUGAUAGAUGUUCAGGCCAGCUAUGCAGACCUUAAGGUAAAUGUUUUUCCAGCUAAUUAACAUGAAAUGUCUUGUAACUUGAACUAAUAAUGAACAACUGAGGAAUGCUUCCUGAAUGAAUCCAAAAUUGUUGGAAACACCACCGUCCAGUUGGAGAGGGAGCUAUCUGGAUCUCUAUCCAACCAGGACAUGUCUGCUUACAACUUUUUGUUGAAAAAGGUUGCGAAAAAAAAUCUAAAUCUGGAGGUAGGUGAUCCCAACUCACAACUAUGGAUAGCAAAAGGAAGAUGCAGUACUUGAUGUGAAAAUUUACAGGAAUAGAUAAUCUAACUUACAAUUAAUAAGCUUAUACUAUUAUUGUUGAUGCAAUACUAAUUUUACACGUUUUUUCAGUUGUAAAUACAAUAUGAAAUAAAAAGUUAUUCACAGGACCAUGGGUGUUUGUUAGUUUGUAUAAUCACACAAAUAAAAUAAGAGUUAAUUUGUCUAUGUAUGGUUUGUAUCCUGUUAUUUGCUACAAUAUUUAGCAAGUGUGCAAGCUAUUUAUGUGAGGUUAACUACGGACCUAUAAGCGAAGGAGUUUUUCUUCUCUACACAAGUAAGGUGUAAGUCAGCGAUCUUGGUUAUAUAGUUGACUUAAAUCCUGAAGGGACGAGCCUGCAUCUUUUCUUUCUGAUUUAAAAUGUAUUCAAAAUUCUUAUGCCCUGGUGUGCUCUAAUUCUUGGUAGUAUGUUCUCACAUGAACAGUCAUUUGAACAUUCAUCUAACUUUCUGCUUAAUAAAUUUGUAGCUGAGAUGAUGUAGCCGAAGGCACACUUCGGUAUUGUUUUAUUUCAGUCUUCCCUUAUCCUUUUUGUCUAAGAGAUAUUUCCCAGCAUGUCUGUCCAAACAUAUAUUACAGUUAUUACUAAGAAGGCUAUCCUCUUUUCUAUUUCAGCUCAAAGAUGGAUCGACCUGCGCAUUGUUGGGAUCUGUUUUAAUUGAAGUACUUCCUUCUACAGAAACAACUGGUACACAAGGAGCGUGUUUCCUUCUACAGAGGUAGCUGGUGCACAUGGAUGUAGUGAAACACGGUCAGAAACACUUGAGAUAUUAGCCGCAUAUAUUGAGAUAUUUCUCCUUUUAUUCUGGGUCCUGUAUCCUAAAAUAAGUAGCCAACUCAUUUAUACAUGGUGGUCAGGGCAACGUGUAACGUCUACCUUUGGUAUUGUAUUAUUUUGUUCAAUGCAAUUCAUCAAAAUGACAAUGCAACAACAUAUGUAAAUGUUCUUUACUACCUUCUCAUUCUGCGCUGAGAUCAAUGAAAGUUGCAGGCAUCUAUAGCUUUGAAGCUAGCUCUUUGGGCGGCUUGAGAUAGGACAGCUACAUUGUUCUUUAAUUAUAGGUUCCAUCAAUGGUAAUGAUGGUUUCCCAACAAGAAUGCUAGGGUAAGCACCUUCAUAUGUUGCUUAUCAUUAUGGUCAAUACAUUAUUGUGCCUUCUGUUUGUGUAAAAUGCGAUUUCUACAUCAUUGAUUGUGGCACUCAGAAAGAGCACUCCCAUUUCCUGUCGAUUUAAUGAUUUAAGAGAAGUUAGGCUAAACUGCAUAUACCAAGGUUAUGUCAUGAUGGAUGUUUUGCAUCAUCAUUAUUACAUUAGAGACGAUUGGUGUUGAACAACUAGAUUAAAUAUGCCCCGUAGCAACGCACGGGCAUUUUUGCUAUUACUCUUAUGUCACUACAGACCUCAUACAUAAUCAACCAAGUUUACAUGCUUA